rnacentral:rRNA from 1 species
UACGAAGGGGGCUAGCGUUGUUCGGAAUUACUGGGCGUAAAGCGCACGUAGGCGGAUCGAUCAGUCAGGGGUGAAAUCCCAGGGCUCAACCCUGGAACUGCCUUUGAUACUGUCGAUCUGGAAUAUGGAAGAGGUGAGUGGAAUUCCGAGUGUAGAGGUGAAAUUCGUAGAUAUUCGGAGGAACACCAGUGGCGAAGGCGGCUCACUGGUCCAUUACUGACGCUGAGGUGCGAAAGCGUGGGGAGCAAACAGG